AGCUUUCACUUCCUGACAAUGUCACAUGUGAAAUUGCACCCUGGUUCCACUCUCCUGAGUGAGUCCCUAUGUGCAAAACUCUGUGCCUCCCUGAGUCUUCCUGAUACACAUCCCUUCACUUGCUCCCAGCUAAGGCUCUUCCUCAAAGAUCCAGUAACCCGUUUUGCCGUGGAACUGCCUAGUUAGUUGCAAACUGCGGGAAGUGCCAUCAGGAGGGAAGUCAUCAAGAAGUACUAGGCGUUAGAGUUGUGCUUCCUGAGACACCUCCCUGUCUUCCGCCUUACUGCAAAAUGGUUAUUGUACAGGAAGGAAGACAAUACAAGAAAAGGAGAGAAAACUGAUCAAGGUUGAGGAAAAUCAUUCCUGGAACUCACACUCCCCACGUCAGUUGACUUCUGCAAUUCAGUAGCCUGAACAGCACGACCGACCCAUGGAUUAAACCAAUGACUGACAGGGAGGCAAAGGCCACAGCUUACUCCAACCAAAGUACCACCCAUGCUGCUAAGUGGAUGUCUUUCUCCCCGGAAGCUUAUAGAUUAGCUCAAAUGGGUGGAAUCUUGAAUAAAAUUGGAGUUCUGCAAGAGGAAAAAGAAGAAGAGGAUGGAUGUUGAAUAAGCAGCCAAGAAUGUCCUCUAUAGAGUGGCAUGAAUCCCAUUUCCUUAUUAGAAGAAUUCAAAAGGUGUGUCCAAUUAGUGAUGAACAAGUUAUACUCCAUGUAUAAAGAAUACAGCUUUUAUAUACAGUAGAAAACACGUUCUAUUUUAGAGCUAAAACAGUUUUAUGAACUAUCACUAUCAACAUUUUAUCUCUCUCGAUCUUAAGAGGUUAAGACAAGAUAAAAAUCCCUUCAAGGUCUGAGAUAUGAAAACCAUUAUUAAUUCAAAACCUAAAUAAGGAAAUGCUAAGUAUUUGAAUAAUAUUUUAUUUAUUUUUUAUAAGCUGAAGUUUUAUGCAAAGGAUACGAGUUAGGCUUUAAAAAAAUAAUGAAAUACCAAGAGGUAGUUAUGGGAUUGGUGCUAGGGGGAAAUAAAGAUAGAAAAAUAUUCAAGACAAGAGGAGCAUGCAGAAACACAAAUCAUACAUUCCUGGAGAUGUAAGAGCUGCCUAAGAAUUACUCUCUGUGAUUUGAAACAAGAAGGAAAACACUUUAAGUUAUAAAACUGACAAUGUCUUUGAGAUAAAAUUACAAUAAUGGUUUAGAGGAGGCAUAGCUUUGCUCAAUAUUAAAACUUAAGAUAAAUUUCACUCACAUUUCCUCAUAAGGAGGACACUGCAAUAAAUAUUAUUCUUAGCAUCGAGGUUUUAAAGGCUGGUAUAUGAAAGCAAUGCUAACCACUGAAACAAACAAACUCUAAUACUUCAGUGCCUUAUCACAGUAAAAAUUUAUUUCUUGAUCAUGUAACAUCCUGUGCUGAUGGCCAGAAUGUUUCUAUCUUUCGGGUCUACCUGUCUCCCGGGACUCAACGCCCUCUGCAUUCAGCCACAGCAGUUUCCCAACCUGAGCACCACUGGCAUUUCAGAACGCAUGAUGCUUUGUUGUGGCGGGCCGUUGGGUGCCAUUGUAGGAUGCUGAGAAGCAUCACUGACUACCACUAACUGGACACCAGAAGCACAACAAUCAAAAAUGCCUCCUCCUCCUACUGCCAAUGUCUCCUGGGAGACAAAAUUGCCUCUGGUUGAGAACUGCUGAAUUAGAGAACGGGGAAAGAGAAAAUCGAGAAGGCACAUCUGGUUUUACUAAAAUGUAAUUCACACAUGCACACACAAAUGCUUGGAUCUUAAGUGUUGAGUUCAAUGAGUUUUGACAGUUGUUACGCCUGUGUAAUAACCAUUCAGAAGAAGAUGCCAACCAUUGUUUUCACCUAGAACGUUCCCUAGUACUCAUGUGUAGCCAACCCACCAUUCCCCACAGGCAACCACUUCCUGAUUUUUCUCACCGUAGACUAGUUUUGUCUAUUAUUGGACCUCAUAUGAAUGGGAUUAUACAAUAUGCGCUCUUUUGUGUCUGGCUUCUAGCACACAAUGUUUUGAAACUUAUCUGUGUUUUUACCUGAAUCAGUAGUUCUUUCCUUCCUAUUGAGGAACAGUAUUCUGAUGCAUGAAUAUGUCACGAAUUUGUUUCUUUGUUCAACUGUUUUACAUUUUCUUUUAAACAAUUUGACCUAAAAGUGAUGUGUUUCACUUCUGUUCAGAUUCCACUGGUGAGAACUAGUAUCAGGACCCAUCUAAUUGUAAGGAGGGCUGGGAAAUGAUGUCUUUUGCAGGUAAGACACUUGUCAGCAGCAAUUCUCUGUACUCUGGGAGGCAGGGUACAAAUCUUUUGGAGGACAGCUAAUUAUCUCUGUCAUAUCUAGUAUCUAAAUGGGAGGUCUGUGUAUUGUUCUAACCUAGGCUAGCAGAGCUAUGUGAAGGCUGCGGGGAUUCAUGCACAUACACAGCCUAAAGCAUUAUCAUUCAUUUACACAUUUUACUAUUAACCAUGUUAAAUAGCAAAGCAAAAUCCUAUUUCAAGUAGCUGUCCACAUGUUCUAAGUAGAUACUAAAUAAUAAACCAAUAUCCAAAGCAACAAAUUUUUAGUUAAUGCCUAUUAGCGCUUUCUUUGUAUAUUUCUUUCUUUCUUUUGAGAAGGAGUCUCGCUCUGUCACAGGCUGGAGUGCAGUGGCUCACUCACUACAAACUCCGCCUUCCGGGUUCAAGUGAUUUUCCUGUCUCAGCUUCACACGUAGCUGGGACUACAGGCACACACCAACACAUCUAGCUAAUUUUUGUAUUUUUAGUAGAGAAGGGAUUUCACCAUGUUGGCCAGGAUGGUCUCGAUCUCUUGACCUAGUGAUCUUUUCACCUAGGCCUCCCAAAGUGCUUGGAUUACAAGUGUGAGCCACUUGGCCCAGCUGUAUAUUUCUUUCUUGAAGACUCAUUAUUUAAAAAAACAAAUUAUUUGGCAUUGAUUAAAACAUGGUUGAUCAGGUGUAAACAAUAUGUUUGAGUAACCAUACUUAUGUUUAAAAUCUGCAGACCUGUGAUUCACAGAAGGUUUCACUUGAAUUUCACAUGUGAGUAUAUUAUGUUUUAAUCUAAACUAAAAAGAAAACAGAUAAUCCAUAAUAAUAGAAAUGUAAAUGAAACAUUUAUCACAAUUAUCCAUGGAUGGAAGCUCACAGUCAUGAAUUCAUGAAUGCUUUUAGAGUAUAAUUUCCCCCAGUCCCGUUAAAAGGGCUGGUACCCUAAAAGCACAUUGUGAAACCAGUUGUCUUUCCUGCUUGAAUAACGCUGAAAGAUGAAAGAGACCAGCAUUCUUUGCUUUACUUCUACUAAUGAUUUCACAUAUAUAAGAACGUGAUAAAAAUACCUAAUAGGAAAACUAUGAUUGAAGAUGAAUUGAUAUAAAUCUAUCCCUCAUUUGGAAAUAUGAGCAUAUCUGUUGGGAUUCCAUCACAUAAAAAUAGAGAUUUUAUUUAUAAAUGUGCACCUAUGUGCUGUCAUAUCAUGAACCUUUUUUAUUUGCCUAAUUUAACAUAUUCACAAUACUUUAUUUCUCUAACAUACCUAAUUUAUACUCAUGUUAUAUUCUGUGUACGUGGGUUCUUAAGAGUGUUCCCAACCUGUGUUCCCCGGAAGGAUUCAGACCUAAAUGUGUAUCUGAGUGGGACUGAUAUGAACCUGGUGGGGAUCUCAGAAGGCUCUAAAGAAACCCUAGGAAAACACCCCCCUUCAAAGAAGGGCAAGCAAAUCUGGCUCAAAGCAAGAGUUGGCUGUCCUCUAUACUUUUACCUUAAAAAUAUGAGCACAGUUAAAGGGAGUUGCCAUCCUUUUAUAAAAGCCCCCAAUUCAUCUUUGUAGUCGGACAAUUAUCGCAGGGGGUUCAGGGAGUAGAACAGACCCAUUCUUGGUCUUUCAUUAAGUUUGUCAUUGUCUUUGCAAAAAUCAAAACUCUGGUAUAUUUCAUUUCCAAGCCUAAAAUGCCUUGAAACUCUAUUAUGUUCUACAUUUUAAAAAGUCAGAGCGAGCAUAACUGCAUCUAAUUUGCAAUGCUUGCCUAGUCACAAUGUUAAUUCACAGGACUUGUGUUAAUAAUAUUAUGUACUUCAAAGUGAAUCCUGUAUAUUCUACAGAAUUAACUAGAGUUGUUCAGGGGCCUGUUAACAAGUUGCUGAAAUGCAGAAGCUUUUGGGUUUGUUGAGCAGUCAUAGCCUAUUACAAGUCGUGUCAAGACAAUUCCAGGGACAGGCCGACGGAAAUCACUGUUCUUGGUGGAGCCUUAGGCACCGCUUUCAGAUUUCAUUAAGAAUCACAUACUCAGGGAUUCCAGAUAACUAUUAUAGGUGGGCUCCAGUUUAAGAAAUAUUAGUUGUGAAAGGUAGUCUUAGAACAGGUCUAAAUUAGCAAAAAUAAUGAGUUUCCUAUUUAUGCAACAACUGUCAUUCAUUCAUUCAUUCAACAAAUGUUUCCUGACCCUUGCCACGAAUCCCCACAGUAUUCCAGGAGUACUCUGAGUAAGACACACCCUUUCCCCGAAGGAGCUGACACCUUGGAGGUAGAUAUUAAUAAUUAGCUACAUCCAGAGGUGAUCGGUAAAAACAGGAUACUAUGAACACCAAAAUCAUGGAGACACUAUUUCCAGCAAGAAAUUCAAGGCGAGUUCCACAGGGAAGAUAGUUCCUAGCCGAGACUCAGAGACAGCAGGAUUUUAACCAUUAGUGACUGCAGGUAGGAAAGAUGAACGAUGCUUAGAGGAGUGAGGAUAGGAAGCUACACAUGCACUGGACAUGGAAAAAGGAUCUACUUGUCUAGGUAUGGAUUUUGAACAAGGGAGUGUGAGUUGGAAAGAGAAUCAUAAAGGUAAGUUGCAGCUGUAUUAAUAAGAGCCAUAAAUGCUAGGAUAAGAAAUGUGUGAUAAAUUUGUUAGGCAAUCAGGAACCACUAAGCUUUGUUCAAAGAGAAAAACGAGGAUUAGUGUUGAUUGAAUGAAUGACAGAAUCCUUCACAGAUGCUAAGGAUCUUCUAAAUGGAAAGAAGACACAGAGAAGCAAUAUCAGAUAAAAAUAUGCCAUCACAGUUUGCAGAGAAGCAAUGGUGGCCCAAUCCUGUGUAGUUAUAUAUACAAUCAACUCAAUCAGUAAUGUCCCCGGUUGCUGUUGCCUGGAGGAGGCUUAAUUGUACUACUCAAGGAGUGUCACGGAGCUUUCCAAAUAGAGAAUGUAUGUUAUGUUUUGACUCUAUUGGGAAGAACAGGGGGCUCUUCCCAAAAGAGCUUUCCGAUGGCCCCCCAUCAUCCUUGGUGUUACAGAAGAUAAAGGUGAACAAGGUUAGAGGGAUAGAACUAUAGUGCUGUGAUGUUACCACCAAGGCUCAGAGAACAGUCUUCAGGGAAACACUUUGCAGAGGACCAAACCAAAGUCGAGGUAUUGAUAAGGGUCUGGAGCAAGCCAUGGGCAUUCCAGAGUGAUCCAGACUUUGGGGUAAGAACAACACAAACCUCAGACAGACAAGAUCAGCUCAGAAAUCAUUCCCCUGGUGUUAACUUGUAAAGGUUACUCAUCAGUUCCUUAGUAAAGAGGACCAAGAGACAAAACCCAUGUCUAUUCUUGGGUUUAGUUGCACAUAAGGCUGUGAGGAAACCAAAUAUCGCUCCUAGUGGAGGGUGGAUGUGAUUGUUCACAGUGUAUCCUGUUGUCAGUUCCACAAGAGGCCAAAAGAACUAAUCUCUCUAAGUAUAUGUAAAUGACCUAGAUGUAGAAGACCCUUCAGAAAUUUAAAGUUAGAGAUCCUGUGUCCAGAGAAUGUCAUGUUAGGAGGCAGGGCAAAAAAAAGGUGUAUUAUUGGAGAGUUCCAUGUUGCUAAGGCUGAUGGUACUAGAACAAGCUACACUUUGCAAUAGCUUCAAGAACAGUGAGUUAGGGCUUUGGGCUUGGAUACAUGAAGAAGAGGAGCCUAGCAUGUUAGUGUUUCCAUUUGGGUGAUUAGGAGAACAGUGAUGCUCCGUGUCAGAUAAUAGCAGUGAAUGGGGAAAUUAUUUGGGUAAGAUGAGGAUUUCAGUUGAAAACAUGUUGAAUCAGGAUAGGAAAUCAGAACAAGAUGCAGAACAUCAGGAAAAUAGUAACAGAAGAAAGGUCCGGGCACAAGAUCAGGCAUUUUUCAAAAUAAAAUACAAAAUCCAUGAGAAACUUAUUUUUAAAGCAAAUUAUCAGUUUGCUUAUAACUUUCCAGAACUACCUCAAAAGUUUAAAGUGAGGUAUACCUUUAAUUAUAUUAAUAUUAUAUUUGGUAUUAAAUAGAAGCUUAUUUUACAUAAUUUCAGAGUAAGGAGAAAUAAUACUCUUUUUUUUUUUUUUUUUGAGACGGAGUUUCACUCUUGUUACCCAGGCUGGAGUGCAAUGGCGCGAUCUCGGCUCACCACAACCUCCACCUCCUGGGUUCAGGCAAUUCUCCUGCCUCAGCCUCCCAAGUAGCUGGGAUUACAGGCACGUGCCACCAUGCCCAGUUAAUUUUUUGUAUCUUUAGUAGAGACGGGGUUUCACCAUUUUGACCAGAAUGGUCUUGAUCUCAUGACCUCGUGAUCCACCCGCCUCGGCCUCCCAAAGUGCUGGGAUUACAGGCUUGAGCCACCGCGCCAGGCCAAUAAUACUCUUUUUAAACAAAUUUUUAAUAUAUACUUAAGUUCUGAGAUACAUGUGCAGAACCUACAGGUUUGUUACGUAGGUAUACACGUGCCAUGGUGGUUUGCUGUGCCCAUCAACCCAUCAUCGACAUUAGGUAUUUCUCCUAAUGCUAUCCCUUCCCUAGUCCUCCAUCCCAUCAACAGGCCCCAGUGUGUGAUGUUCCCCUUAGUGUGUCUGUGUGUUCUCAUUGUUCAACUCCCACUUACGAGUAAGAACAUGUGGUAUUUGGUUUUCUGUUCUUGUGUUAGUUUGCUGAGAAUGAUGACUUCCAGCUUCAUCCAUGUCUCUGCAAAGGACAUGAACUUAUCCUUUUUUAUGGCUACAUAGUAUUCCAUGGUGUAUAUGUACCACACUUUCUUUAUCCAGUCUAUCAUUGAUGGGCAUUUGGGUUGGUUCCAAGUCUUUGCUAUUGUGAACAGUGCUGUAAUAAACAUAACGUGUGCAUGUGUCAACAAUAAUCUUUUAAAGAAACUGUAAUGCGCUAAUUUGCCUCCCAUUCUUGGAAAAGUAACACGGAGUGGAGACAGAGAGAGAAGAAGUAGCCUGUUGGCAUGCUCUGACAUUCUGGAAGACCCUGGUAAUCAUCCGUCUCUCAUUAAAAACACUCCUCAGUCUCUUCUCCCAACUCUCUGUAGAAACCAUCUCCAGGUUUAAAAUGAAUGUCAAAGGGAAAGUAGGAGUCACCUUAUAUUUAACAGCAACUAUUCCAGAACACCACCGUCCCCUAAAACUGCUUAAGGCUAUUUUCAAGGUUACUGGAGGCCAACCUUGAAAAUCUCCUAACAUUAAAAAAAAAAAAAAAAAGGUUUGUUUAUAUUUAAAAAUCUCUAAAGACAGAAAUGUAAAAAUUAAAUAUUUUGGCCAGUUGCAGUGGCUUAUGCCUAUAAUUCCAGCACUUUGAGAGGCCGAGGCAGGGGGAUCACCUGAGGUCAGGAGUUCGAGACCAACAGGAGACCAACAGGAGCUUGACGAACAUGGAGAAACUCUGUCUCUACUAAAAAUACAAAAUUAGGCAGGCGUGGUGGCGCAUGCCUGUAAUCCCAGCUACUCGGGAGGCUGAGAUAGGAGAAUCACUUGAAUCCAGCAGGUAGAGGUUGUGGUGAGCCGAGAUUGUGCCACUGUACUCCAGCCUGGGCAACAACAGUGAGCAUCUCAAAAAAUAAUAAAUAAAUAAAUAUUUUGCAAUAACAUUCUCUUGCUUGAAUUUUUCAAUAAAUAUUUAUUGCUUUGUAACAAAAUGAGUGUAUAACAAUUUUAAAUGCACC